rnacentral:lncRNA from 1 species
AGGAUAAAAUCGUCCGCGUGAGGAAGAGGACUGGAGGGGUUUCGAUUAAUUGGCAUUGUUUGCCAGAGAGAUAUAAUAAUGGAUCAGGAGAAUAAAAUCGUCCCCGAGAGGGAGAGGAGCGAAUUCAAUUGGUAUUAUCUGCCACCUACAAGAGACAAUCAGAAGGAAACAGAGGGGAAUAAAAUCGUCGACCGCAAGCGGAAGAGGAGGGGCUUCGAUUGGUAUUAUUUGCCACCUACUACUACUACUAGAGACGAUCCCAAGCUAAUAAGAAUAAGAAGCGCAGCACCAGCAGGAGAA